rnacentral:lncRNA from 1 species
UAAAUAGUAAAAUAAAACCCGAUCUAAUCUGUACAGAUACAAACAAAUACAGUGGGUUUAAACUUUUUAACCGGUGCCAAACUUCAACCUUUCCUGAUUUAGUCGUGUACCAAUACAAUUUACUUAGGUCUAAAUUAAUUGUGGGAAUCGAAAUUAUACAAAUUGACAACCAAAGAAUGUUUGUUUUGUAAGCAUCACUUUUUUGUUUGAAAUAAAAUUGUCCAAGUAAGGCAAUUGCUGACAAGCCA